rnacentral:lncRNA from 1 species
UGUCACGGACCGGAUAACUCCUUAGCUAUCUUCCGUGCGGCCUUAGUCACAAUCCGCCCUUGCGAUGUGCUAAGUCAGCCUUUCCCCGAAAUAUUUCCACAACAAAGCUAAGAGAAGCUAAGAAGAGAAGCUUGCAAGAAUGCUUUGUAUUAAAAAAGAGAAUGCUUUGUACAAGUGUUGGAUUGCUUGAGUGUUUCUUGGAUGCAAAUGCCAAAUG